AUUGAACGCUGGCGGCAGGCCUAACACAUGCAAGUCGAGCGGAUGAAGGGAGCUUGCUCCUGGAUUCAGCGGCGGACGGGUGAGUAAUGCCUAGGAAUCUGCCUGGUAGUGGGGGAUAACGUCCGGAAACGGGCGCUAAUACCGCAUACGUCCUGAGGGAGAAAGUGGGGGAUCUUCGGACCUCACGCUAUCAGAUGAGCCUAGGUCGGAUUAGCUAGUUGGUGGGGUAAAGGCCUACCAAGGCGACGAUCCGUAACUGGUCUGAGAGGAUGAUCAGUCACACCGGAACUGAGACACGGUCCAGACUCCUACGGGAGGCAGCAGCGGGGAAUAUUGGACAAAGGGCGAAAGCCUGAUCCAGCCAUGCCGCGUGUGUGAAGAAGGUCUUCGGAUUGUAAAGCACUUUAAGUUGGGAGGAAGGGCAGUAAGUUAAUACCUUGCUGUUUUGACGUUACCAACAGAAUAAGCACCGGCUAACUUCGUG
rnacentral:rRNA from 1 species